UGAACGGACAGUGAAGCACAAAGCGUCGGCAGCGCAGCACCGGUCACAGCCCAGUAUUUUGGGCCACCUCGCUAAAUGGAGCCCCGAUGGUGAAACAUAUGCCGAGACAAAGAUGGCUAUGCUGAUAGCUGGAACCAACAUCCCGUUCUCAUUUGCGGAUGUCUAUAACAAAUCCGUGAAGGAUAUGUUCCCGGAUUCAGAGAUCACUCGCCAGUACGCAAAUGGCAGAACAAAGGCUACUCAAAUAGUGAAAGGUGCCAUUGCCCCGGAAUUGGACAAGGAAGUGAUCGAACUUUGCCAAAACCAACCCUGUGGUCUGAUGUAUGAUGAAAGCACAAGCAGAAACACGGAUAAAGAGUUUGUGAUAUUGGCCAGGGUUUGCGAUCCGAAAACUCAGGAGGUGGUGACGAAGUUUCUGCACAUGCCAGUGUGCAACAUUGGCACAGCACAGAACCUCUUUGAGUCACUGAACACAGCGCUAAG